rnacentral:rRNA from 1 species
CCUACGGGAGGCAGCAGUGAGGAAUAUUGGUCAAUGGUCGGGAGACUGAACCAGCCAAGCCGCGUGAGGGAGGAAGGUACAGAGUAUCGUAAACCUCUUUUGUCAGGGAACAAAGUCGGGGACGUGUCCCCUGAUGAGUGUACCUGAAGAAAAAGCAUCGGCUAACUCCGUGCCAGCAGCCGCGGUAAUACGGAGGAUGCGAGCGUUAUCCGGAUUGAUUGGGUUUAAAGGGUGCGCAGGCGGUCUGGUAAGUCAGCGGUCAAAGCCCGGGGCUCAACCCCGGCCCGCCGUUGAAACUGGCAGUCUGGAGUGGGGGAGAGGUAUGCGGAAUGCGCGGUGUAGCGGUGAAAUGCAUAGAUAUCGCGAAGAACUCCGAUUGCGAAGGCAGCAUGCCGGCUCCAAACUGACGCUGAGGCACGAAAGCGUGGGUAUCGAACAGGAUUAGAUACCCCAGUAGUC